UUGCUGUAGCAGCACAUAUACUAAAAUUAGAACAAUACAGAGAUUGGCAUAGCCCCCGCACAAGGAUGACAUGCAAAUUCGUGAAACGCUCCAUAUUUUU
ensembl:snRNA U6 U6 spliceosomal RNA